ACUCAACAGAGAUUCUUUAAAGAGGGUGAGUCUAAGUUGUAAAAGCGCGCCGCUCCCGUUUUUCGGGAUGAGCGGAUUCUUGAUCAGCUUGUUAGCCCUAAACUUGUUUUUAAGGAGUUU
rnacentral:sRNA from 1 species